UUGCCCUAAUUUGUAUAUUGAUUGAUCUAUUUAUUUCUCUUGGGGAACUCCAGCGUGCUUUCCAGAUAGGUUAUAGCUCAUAUAAUAAUGAUGUUCAUUUCUUUCUCUCUCUCUCUCUCUUUUUUUUUUUUAAGGAAAUUGGCUGGUUCUAUCUCACAUGGACCUCUCCUUUACCUUCUCAUACAGGGUAAAAAUUAUUCAAGUGUGCUGCAAUAGAUUCCUCAAAAUAAACUAAAAACCUGCAAAUUAUAAUAUCGUACCCGAUAUGGAUACACAUCCACAUGAUAUUCAUUUCUAGAUCCUUAACAUAACUGCGGGAUAUCAGGAAAUUGGAAUUAAAUAUAAUAGACCCACUCAUAGCAGGAGCUUUAGUGCACUGGACUGCCUACUGCCCUUUUAAAGGUGGAAAAUCUCUUACGAUCAUCGGUUUCAAUAGAUGGGGGCGCACUUGGAUUGGAUAAGGGUUUUGAGCUCAUCAUGGAGGGUGAAAGUUUACCGGUGUCAUGUGAAAAGGAACUCAAGUUUACAUUUGCCCUGCAUGUUGUUGAAUGGAAGGAGAGGAUUCUGCAUCAAUAUCAACAAGCGGCGAAGAGAGGGUCAUCAGUGGCAAACACGAGGUACCUCAGACGCUUUCCCCGCGACACAGAACAAAAUAUGUGGCAAUGUCUUCUUAUCUCUCUAUCCUUCUCUUCCGUUAAUCAGGAAAAACUGAAGUUGUUUCCCUUUUGUGUCCAGUAUGCUUUUUGUUAAAAUUGUUUCAUAUUAUAUGCCAUCUUAGUUUUGAUAAGCUUCUUAUUGUGGGUUAAUUUUUCGGUUUUACUUGAGAUUUUUUAUUCUAAUGGAAGAAAGAAGACCCGAUUCGCGAAUUUUAAUUGAGGUUUUUUUAAUUUUACUACAGUAUGCAAUUUCCACUUUUCAAAACAUCCUGCAGCUUCUUCUCCUUCUGCAUUUCGUGAAAAAUCAUGUCACCGUACAUUCCAAACAUCAAAUCUAAAUAUACGCUAACAACUUAAAACUUUGAGAUAAUAAAGUCAGCACGGUUCAAUAGAUGUAGCCUAAGAAACUAACCUUUUCAAGAUUUUUUCUGAUCUCCAGUAAAAGCUCCGACUCCUCUUGUUCUUGAACCUCUGUUGGAUGAAUUCCCUUUUGACCUUUCGCCAUCACGCUAUAGCAAUCUUUAUCAGCUCUGAUAAAUCGCCAAAAUAUUCGUAUUGAUUCUUCCAGUAUCUCCGCAAGCAUGUCACUUGUAAUUGAAUAGUCAGUUUUCUCUUUUGUUCUUGCCUUGUUUCUGUUCUUUACUUGUAAUCUGCAUGUUUAUUUUCGAGUUUAAAUACACUAGAUUGUCUCUAACAACAAUCAGCAACAAAAGUCGAAAAGAUACUAACCUCAAAUAACAGGAACUUGAAGAAGAUUACUAAGAUCAUAUCGGCUCUUGAUAAAAUAUUGAACUCUAGGCCCUUGAAAAGGUUCAUUUUCUAUAAAUCUUUGCAUGAGCACUAGAAACUGUUGAAACUCUCCAGCAACUUCAUUAUAUUUUCUGAUCCCACGUGGAUCAGAAUCCCACAAAUUUAAAAAGCUUUCAUAUAUUGCCAGUGCAAAAAUUCCCAAGAAAGGCACAUCUGGCCAACAUAUAUCACUUCAAAAUCACUCUGCAAUUCUUUGAUAAACUUAACCAUUGGAUCAAAGUCAUGACUUUUAUGUUUGAAUAGCCUAAUAUUUUGUGAGAGAAGGGAUUUUAGUGUUGGACCUGAAGAUUUCUGGUUGAAGACUAAUUGCAGUGGAUCUUUUAGUGGAUCUUUCUGCAGAUAACCUGUCAAACAUUUCGGAUUAGAGCAGCUAAAGAUUGAAAAAAGGAUUUAAGUUACAUACACCGACAUUAUUAAAAGAAGUGAGAGUAUUUCGCGAAGCAACUAGACAAACAUUUUUGGAGAAUCAAACUAUGAUUUCAGUCAAUAGCUAAAAAGUAAAUUAUAAUUUUAGGUCAAGAUUAUCUUAAUCAUUGUCUGUUGUUGGCCAACAAACUUAUAGGUAUGAAUUAUCAAAGCAUAAAAAGCUUAGCUUUCCAGAUAUGAUCAUACACAAAAGGUUAGCAUAGACAUUUUUAUAUUCGAACAUUUUUGGAGAAUCAAACUAUGAUUUCAGUCAAUAGCUAAAAAGUAAAUUAUAAUUUUAGGUCAAGAUUAUCUUAAUCAUUGUCUGUUGUUGGCCAACAAACUUAUAGGUAUGAAUUACCAAAGUAUAAAAAGCUUAGCUUUCCAGAUAUGAUCAUACACAAAAGGUUAGCAUAGACAUUUUUAUAUUCUUUUAUUUGUGUAUUCUGUUUAGACAGAAUUAAAAGAAGAAACAUGUACACACUUCUAGCAAGUACAGUAGCACUAUAUAAUUAGGACAUCUUGUAACUUAGUGUAAACUUCCUCUUGUUCAUAUUAAUAAUCAUUAAAAACAACAUUUCUGACUUAUUCAAAUGGAAUAAACAGUCUUAAAAAUGUAUAAUGUGUAUUGUCUAUCGGAAAUAACCUCUCUACCGUUUCUUACAUCAUGGAUCCAAUGCAUUGAAUUUCAUGUUAUUAUAAGUUUCAGGAGCCUAAGCUAACCAGAUUUUGUGGGUCCUGUAUUAAACUUUAAUUAUAGGUGAGCAACUUUUUUUCCUCUUUACACUCGAUUACUAAUUGUUUGAAAGCGAUGAAACAUGAUGAUAACCGUGGACACAAGUCCUGGUGUACCUACUAAUUAAAAAACUCAUCAUCUAAUAACUUAUUAGCCAAAUUUUACUCAAAUUUGUUACUGUAACUAAAAUCAAAAUCUGUGCCAACUUUUUCCAGAUCAAAAAACUAAAAAACUUUCUGUUGUUUACUUUUGCAGAAGCAAAUGCUGCCUCUUGAAGGUGUCAAAACACAAUUGACUCGAAAGACAUUCAGCAUUCAAGUCAAGAAAUCAUUUUUAAAUACUACUAAUGCAAGUACUGGAAAGCUGAUCACUGUAUCUUUCAUGGAAAAGGAGAAUACAGUCAACACAAGACCCUCACGCAUUGCAAUGGACAUUGAAGAGAGUGGUAAAAGAAAAAUAGAGAAUGGUGGCACAGGCACAACAAACAAUCAGGGUGCAUCAAAUCGAGCAAGAACUUCUCGUGUCAGACAUGCUUCAGAGGUGAAAACUCCACCUCUGAAAAACUACCACAAGUGAAACAUCUUUUGGUCGCUACUUUUGAACUAUGGUUGGAGCCAUUUUUUGCUGCAUCCUUAGGAAUACAUCUGACACUGCAAUGUUUAUAUCAUAUAUAUACCGAAGAUGACUGCUUUCCAUAUUCUCUUUUGUAAAUGUUCCAAUCACGCGUUUGAAGAGCUCAAUCUAAGAAUGCAUCUCCUCUUUUUUUCGAUCCAUGCAAAUAAUAUAUUCAAUACCAUCUUCUAAAAGUUGGCUCCUUAAUGUUCAUAUAUAUAUAUAUAUAUAUCCGCCUGUGUGUGUAUCUCUCAACUCAUUUCUUGAGGCAAUACUCCCAACAAGGUUUUUUUCAUUCUCAGCUACUCAAACUUGAAACCUGUAAUUAAAAGCUGCUACCCAUGUUGUAAUCCUUCUAUAUGUUUCUUUCUUUGGUUUAAAGGAUUACUCGGGCACAAUCCAAUUAAUGUGACGUUUCUUUGACCUUGAGUUCAUCAAUUUGUAUUCGCCCCAGAAAUCAAGAUGUUAUAAGGAUGUUUUCGGACAAAUGCAUUCUCACAGAAGACUCGCCUUUAAAAGUUACAGACAAGUGAUGUGGUUAUUACAAUGUUAUCGUCAUCAAACCAUGUGAGAUUUGCAUACCAUCUUUAUAGCUCUUAUUAUAUCACUCACUUUCUCAUAUUUCCGAGGCUAAUUAAUUAUCCUGGAUCCUUCAUCAUUGAUGUCAAUGUAUCCCUGACAUUGUUAUUA